UACGUAGGGGGCAAGCGUUGUCCGGAAUUACUGGGCGUAAAGCGUGCGUAGGCGGUUCGCAAAGUCUGAUGUGAAAGCCCCGGGCUCAACCUGGGAACUGCAUUGGAAACUAACGGGCUCGAGUGUGGCAGAGGGGGGUGGAAUUCCACGUGUAGCAGUGAAAUGCGUAGAGAUGUGGAGGAACACCGAUGGCGAAGGCAGCCCCCUGGGCUAACACUGACGCUCAGGCACGAAAGCGUGGGGAGCAAACAGG
rnacentral:rRNA from 1 species